GGGCUAGCUCUAUUCUUACGUCCAUAAACCAAACACUAUAAUAGAGUGCUCAUGCUAAUAUCACGGCAACAUUCAACAUGCAAAUUUAAACAACCAAAAGACAGUUUGCUCUUUUGCUGCAUAAGACUUAGCAUUUACAACUUACCAUUUACUAGCACUCAACAUGCCCAAUGCAAAUAAACAUAUGGUCAGAAAUUCCUUUGUAGUGAAUUUUUGACAUAAACAUAUGUUUGUUGCACCUGAAACUUUCUAACUCUCUCCAUUCUCUUCAUGAAACAAAGGUUUUUGGCAGGUAGCACAAGUUAGCAUUACCUAUUUACACAAAACAGAGGUUACCAAUACAGUUGGUACUUCAUUUCAUCAGUAGAUAUCAUUUUCCGAAUUAUGGUAAUAUAGGCAACCUGUUUGAAUGGAUCAGUUCCUUGGGCUAAAUGGCCAUAGUCCCUAUCUUCCCAGGUGAUUCAGUGAUACUCUGUAAAUGCAGAUGAUUGGCUAUUAGUACAGUGUACAGCCGAGAAUAAGAAACGAGAAAAAAAAAUGUUGUGAGGUCACUGAUUUUUUUUAUAUACUAAAGGAAAAAUAUGUUGUGAGUGCUUUGCUACUGAAGAAGCUCACUCUGUAUAGUGCUGUGGUAUUGAUCAAAUCAGCAUGCACCAAGGCCCUGACUGCAACUAAGGUUUGAACUGAUACUCCUGCUUGUGGUAGUCUGGCUAGCAAAGAAACUCUUAAAAACAACUUGUUCAGAAAAUAAGACCAUGGCUCGUAAUAUGAAGACAACUAUCCAAGUACUUCCGCCAUCCCGCCAUCCCAAAUUAUAAGACGUUUGACUUUUUUUAUCCUAAGUUUGAUCACUCGUUUUAUUCAAAGAAAUUUAUAAAAACAUAGUCAAAUUUAAGUCAUUCUUAAACAACUUUUAUUAAGGCCAGUCUCAAUGCAUAGUUUCAUGUCACAAUUACCAAGACUAUAAAUUAGGUAACCGAGCCACAUGAGUUUCAUGGGGUUGAAACUCCUCUCUCAUCUGAUGAAACUCCUUCAUUUAAUGACCCUGCCAAAUCAGCAAUUUUGUUUAUGUGACACCCUAUUUAAUGUGCAUGACACUCUCAUGAAACAUGCAUUGAGACUAGCCUAAUAAACCAAGCCACGACAAAAGAAGUGAUAUUUUGCACAAUUUUUUGAAUAAGACUAGCGGUCAAACUUGGUGUAAAAAAAGUCAAACAUCUUAUAAUUUGGAAUGGAUUGAGUAGAAAUUUGUUGUUUGCAACAUAGAUCACUUUCACUGUGAAAAUAUAAUCUCUAUAAACAGAUUAAACUUGUUUGAUGGCCAUAGUACUGAAAGAGCUGAUACCGACUAUUAGCAACAUUACGCAUGCUGAUGUUCAUUCAGGGUCUUCGAUCUGUGCACUACCCAUAUUGCAGAUCCCUCAGCAUCACUUGUGGGCGUCAUACAUGUUCAUGCUGCCAGAUCCAGUGCCGUUGCUUAGCAGCUUUCCGCAUGAUGACGGCUAGCAUUAGCAAAGCUUAAGUUUGGAGUGAGAUAUGACAUGCAGCAUCUGAUUUAGCAUUUUAUAUUCCGGCAUCCUUGCGAAUCACUUAAACAGGCUUUAUGCUUAUGGUCCAUGAGACAACUUUUCAGAAAUAGGAAUGUCCACUCUAAAGUAAUCUUAGUGUUUUUUUAUCUAGAAUAACCAAACUUUGUGAAGCCAAUAUAACUUAAGUACUUUAAAUAGGUUUCAUGAAUCAUAUUUACAAUUUAUCAUCACUUGGAGCAGUUGUUCAGCAUAUAUACAUAGGACAUAAAAAUUUUCAGAACAUCCAAAUUUUAGCAAACAAAAUUUUGGUCCUGUAGGAACAAUAUUUACAUAACUGCUUUGGUGGUAAUCUGUCUACAACGGUCAUUGGUUCUACUCAUGGCCGUAAUAUUCAUAGCAACAAAUUGUCGGGAGUUGUUCAAGGGGAAAAAAGUGGGGAACUCACCUUCUAUUUUUUGAAGUUGCAAUUAUCAGAAACGUCUGCAGAACCAAAAGAUACUGUCAGCCUCUACUUUGCAAGCAAAAGUCUGUAUCAUAAGGGAAAGAAUAACCCCACUGAAGAUGAGCAACAGGCGAAUCGAGCAGAAAACAUCAUCAAGAAAGACACCAUGCAAAGGAAACAACAAAGAUCUCAUGUACCAGAUCCAGAUGUGUUAACCUGUUAAAACUAAAGAAAUUAGUCCUGAUUUUCAUGAUUUGUCUGUAAAGUUCCCAAAUCAUAAAAACUUCUUCUGAAGCCCAUCUACAGCCACUUUAGCUAUUCAUGUCUUUAAAAUUGGCC
rnacentral:lncRNA from 1 species